rnacentral:misc_RNA from 1 species
AGGAGUCCUUCUCGCCUCCUCGACCUGCCUCUCUCUGCUGGAUCGUCUCGACUCGACUCCCGGGGCCGUGUGGAGGGUUGCUAGUACAUCAGGCGGGCUCAAAAACGGGCUGAGGACAAGCGUUCUCGCGCGGAAGCCCUCAUUUCCGCAUGCUACGGAUACAGGCGUACACGUCGAGCAGCUCUCCGUGCCUCUGCUUCCUCGAAGCUUGUCCUUGCGUCGAGAUGAUGGCUUAUCCCGCCCCGAUAGCCUCGACCGAGCUGGCUCGUCACGGCAAGACCUGCCUGAGGAGCAUUCGUUCGCCCACCGUGCUGCCUGAGACCAUCUGCGCCCGUCCACGCCAGUCGCACCUGCCCGCGGCGCCAAUGAAGCCGCCGCUCAAAACGCCCUUCCGACCUCGCCAUUGCGCCUCGGACAAUCCAGACGCUCGCUCUCGCUGCGCUGGCAAUUCGGAUGCCCGAUCGGAGCUGCUAGAGGACCUACUGACGAGCUGCUGGCGCUGUCUACAGCAAGAUUGACCAUCGGCACCUCGUCCGAUUCGGCGCUACUUUUGUCUGCUACCAGCCACUCUGAGUUGCAUGACAUCGCGCGGUGGUUCUGAAGCGUCGGACGGCACAAGCAGGAGACGACGCUCAAGAACAUAUUGCGGUCGCGUAGUCGGGUGCGGAGGGCGACGAGCGGGCUGGAAGCGACGAGAUACG